AUUGAACGCUGGCGGCAUGCCUUACACAUGCAAGUCGAACGGCAGCACGGGGGCAACCCUGGUGGCGAGUGGCGAACGGGUGAGUAAUAUAUCGGAACGUGCCCUAGAGUGGGGGAUAACGUAGCGAAAGUUACGCUAAUACCGCAUACGAUCUACGGAUGAAAGUGGGGGAUCGCAAGACCUCAUGCUCAUGGAGCGGCCGAUAUCUGAUUAGCUAGUUGGUAGGGUAAAGCCUACCAAGGCUUCGAUCAGUAGCUGGUCUGAGAGGACGACCAGCCACACUGGGACUGAGACACGGCCCAGACUCCUACGGGAGGCAGCAGUGGGGAAUUUUGGACAAUGGGGGAAACCCUGAUCCAGCAAUGCCGCGUGAGUGAAGAAGGCCUUCGGGUUGUAAGCUCUUUGUUCAGGGAAGAAACGGUGGGGGCGUAAUAUCCUCUGCUAAUGACGGUACCUGAAGAAUAAGCACCGGCUAACUACGUGCCAGCAG
rnacentral:rRNA from 1 species